AUGUUUUGGUCUUGCGCCGGGGGUAGGAAAAUAGACAUCGCUGGUGGCCGGUGCCUUGUAGAUCGUGAGGACUUGCUUGGCAAAGUCCACGGCAUACUUGGCACUGGUAUGCCGAGGUCGAACAACAUCCCGGUUCACAAAGUCAAGAAGAUAGUUCAAGGGGCUCGCAAAGUUGCAAUAGAGGGUGAGGAGCGCACCACGAUGAGGGUGGCGGUCACACUGUUAGCCAGCUCUACUUUCCUUGUGCCUAGGGGUGCCAUAGCAAAUAUCGCAAAUGAACUACUUCCUGUUGUGGACGAGCCAGAGAUGAUAGCAGAGUUUGAUUUCUGUGAUUAUGUGGUUGAGGGCCUGAGGGAAGCAGCAAGAAAGUUAAGGGAUGAACUCAGCUGUGAUCCUCCUUUGGUCAACCUUACUGGGUGCCUUAUCAUCCCACAGAUGAUCUGGCUGGACUACCACUAG
rnacentral:rRNA from 1 species